rnacentral:rRNA from 1 species
AGAGUUUGAUCAUGGCUCAGAUUGAACGCUGGCGGCAGGCUUAACACAUGCAAGUCGUGCGAGAAAGUAUCUUCGGAUAUGAGUAGAGCGGCGGACGGGUGAGUAACGCGUAGGAAUCUACCUAGUAGAAGGGGAUAGCCCGGGGAAACCCGGAUUAAUACCGUAUACCUCCUUCGGGAGAAAGAAGGCCUCUCUUUGAAGCUUUCGCUACUAGAUGAGCCUGCGUAAGAUUAGCUUGUUGGUGAGGUAAAGGCUCACCAAGGCGACGAUCUUUAGCUGGUCUGAGAGGACGAUCAGCCACAUUGGGACUGAGACACGGCCCAGACUCCUACGGGAGGCAGCAGUGGGGAAUAUUGGACAAUGGGCGCAAGCCUGAUCCAGCCAUACCGCGUGUGUGAAGAAGGCCUUCGGGUUGUAAAGCACUUUAAGCAGGGAGAAAAAGUUAUAAGUUAAUACCUUAUAACCCUGAUGUUACCUGCAGAAUAAGCACCGGCUAAUUCCGUGCCAGCAGCCGCGGUAAUACGGAAGGUGCAAGCGUUAAUCGGAAUUACUGGGCGUAAAGCGCGCGUAGGUGGUUUGUUAAGUUGGAUGUGAAAGCCCUGGGCUCAACCUAGGAACUGCAUCCAAAACUAACUCACUAGAGUACGAUAGAGGGAGGUAGAAUUCAUAGUGUAGCGGUGGAAUGCGUAGAUAUUAUGAAGAAUACCAGUGGCGAAGGCGGCCUCCUGGAUCUGUACUGACACUGAGGUGCGAAAGCGUGGGUAGCGAACAGGAUUAGAUACCCUGGUAGUCCACGCCGUAAACGAUG